rnacentral:rRNA from 1 species
GACGAACGCUGGCGGCGUGCUUAACACAUGCAAGUCGAACGGAAAGGCCCUGCUUUUGUGGGGUGCUCGAGUGGCGAACGGGUGAGUAACACGUGAGUAACCUGCCCUUGACUUUGGGAUAACUUCAGGAAACUGGGGCUCAUACCGGAUAGGAGCUCCUGCUGCAUGUUGGUGGUUGGAAAGUUUCGGCGGUUGGGGCUGGACUCGCGGCUUAUCAGCUUGUUGGUGUGGUAGUGGCUUACAAAGGCUUUGACGGGUAGCCGGCCUGAGAGGGUGACCGGCCACAUUGGGACUGAGAGACGGCCCAGACUCCUACGGGAGGCAGCAGUGGGGAAUAUUGCACAAUGGGCGGAAGCCUGAUGCAGCAACGCCGCGUGCGGGAUGACGGCCUUCGGGUUGUAAACCGCUUUCGCCUGUGACGAAGCGUGAGUGACGGUAAUGGGUAAAGAAGCACCGGCUAACUACGUG